UUGGUCUGGCAGCAAAUAUACUAAAAUUGGAAUGAUAAGAGAAGAUUAGCAUGGCCCCUGCACAUGGAUUGCAUGCAAAUUUGUGACGCGUUUCACAUUUUU